rnacentral:lncRNA from 1 species
GUCGGCAACUAGAUUUCACUCCAGAGGUGGUGGCCAGUGGAGUCCUUUUAUUAAGAGAUAAAGAUAUCUCCCCCAGACCCCCAAAAGAUCUCACAGGGAUAGCUUUACUAGGACAAUCAGAAAUCAGAUCUAUGACUCUGAUGGUCUGGGGCUUAUUUGUUCCCUCUUCUCUAGGAAGAGUCCCUUUUCUCUUCCUUUAACCCCCCGCCCCCACCUUCCAAUUCAUAAACCAUUAAACUCACUCUAGUUUAGGAUCCCUGCAUCUGCUAGGCAACUAUCUCUCAAACCAACCUAUAAACCUAGCUGUUUGGAGCUUUUGGGAACAAAUCUACAAACGGAAACUUCAAUGGCCACCUCCUGUGGCCUUAGCCUGAGGCAUGUUUUGGCUUUCGGGCACACACCUAGAUUCCACACAAAGAAUCUGAGCUUCCUCCACAUGUGUGCAGAAAAGACAAAUCCAGGGUAUUGGAUCAGCGCCCCAAAGAGGAAAUUGACCAGGAAAGGACCAAAACAAAAGUCAUUUGCUCACACAGUGUCCCAGGAGCAGGCUCCAGGCCACCCACGCCCCGCCCAGCCUUGGCAAGGGCUUCUCUGCUCUGUUUCCCUCAAGCCAACCCAGGUGUGAAGCUCAAUUGAUGGAAUCUCAAUAGCCAACCUCAUCUGUGCGGGGAGAAAGAGCCCAAAGCCUCCAGUGGCCACCUCUCGAGCAGGGAAAGGAUCCUUCUCCCUCCCGGGCAGCAUCCCCCCAGAAUGCACUGGACUUGUCUAGAGCUGGGCUUCUGGCUAGCAAGGAUACCAAAGAGCUACUGGAGACUGCUGGAGCCUCCCCGGGCACCUAAGCCAUAUAAAUAAAGUGUGUGGGCUGCUUUGUGGCUCAUUCUUAACUGUAAACUGCCAAAAGACAAAAGACCAAAAGGGAAAUGAGAUGUCAGUUCUUCCCCAUUAUCUCCAUCACAGACCUGCAGCCCAGACAUGGCAGCCUUUUCAAAAUUGUCUGGGAAGCUUUCCCCACUAGAGCAAGUCUACAUGGUCCAUGCCCAGGCUUCUCAGACUCCACUGUCUCCAGCUCAGUAAAAAUCACCUUCCCUGUGCACACACACUGGCCUGCACUCCAGCACUGCUGAGUUGCUGAAGUGACUUUCCGUGUCUUUCUGUAGGAAAAGGAACUGGGGUGUUAAACAGUAAAGCGGUUCUUCUAACUACUGCAGAGACUUGCCCCACACCACAACGAAAAAGAGGCAAUGUGUCGUGUCCCCCCCCAACCCCCCAUCUUCUUACUGUACCGACCCACGUGGAGGGCACAAGUCACACAAGUUUGUGAUUGUUCUUACACGGUGAGGCAACCAAACCUCCGUGGUUGCCUGAGGCUGGACCACCACUCAGUCUUUUCGACUCAUAACGAAGGCGUGGCUUUUCACCCACCUGUCUGACCUGCUUAUCUGGGUCUCUCAUCUCCCGGUAUCUGCUUCUCUCCGCCCAUCUCAGGGCUUCGCUCCCCCCACCUCUGCCACCACCCCCUGCCCGCUUUCUCCUUCCCCAUCCUGCUGUGAGGUCAGAAUCCUGUGCUUACGACACCUCGGUCUGUUGCCAUGGAAACAGGGGCGGAUUAAGGCUGGAGCGCAGGGAUCAGGCCCCUCCGCUACCUGAGCUCCCGCCUCAGCUGGUUCCCGCAGGGCGGGAGCAGCUAGCAUCAGGCACCAAGGCUCAGCAGCCGCCGGGCCGAGGCCACCAACGGGAGCUCAGCUCCAGCAGCAGGCGCACGGCGGGUGCCUGUGACAAAAGCCAGCCAUCUAGCAGGGGGCUGCUUCCGGGACCCAUUUCCCUGGCGUUCGACGGCUCCCGGGGCUUGUUGCUCGGCCCGGUUCCAUGCAACUCCAACUUGCCCCUGAGGUUCCAACUCACCUUUGCG